GUGUGUCACCCUCUGGGGAAAAUUCAGAUUGGCCACUGGAUACAGUAAAAAGCAGGGUCACAGAAGGCACUGAAUGAAUGUUUCCAGGCAAGGACUCCCGUAACUCCACCUGUCUCAGCACCACAACUGAAGGACUUUGCAAGGACAAUGUAUUAGGACUGCAAAGGAAGUGCAGAGAGAGAGAGAGAGAGCACAAGCAGGCACAGGCAGAGACAGAAGCAGGGUCCCUGCUGGACAAGGAGCCUGAUGCGGGACUCAAUGACAGGACCCUGGAACCAUGACCUGAGACAAAGGCAGCAGCUUAACCGACUGAGCCACCCCGGCGUCCCUUAAAUGCUCACUUUGAAGGAACUCCUGACCGGUUAGUCAAUUUCAGGUCUCCUGAGUAGGAAACAAAAAUAAAUGACAAUUAAAGAAGGCUUUAGAAGAAUCCACUGGCACACCUGUUGGCUGGCUAAUCACCCCACCUCCUCCCUGGCUGAGUUUCCACCACUACCCACCUCUUCCUAACUCCUUCCUGGACCCCCUCUGCAUGUAGCUCUCUGCUCAAAAGACCUACUGACAUGAAACAUGUACAAAUGAAUUAAAGGAUAGAUGCUACACACAUUGAAGAUAAAAGAUAGAAUUAUAUUGCCUAAUGAUCUUUAAAUAUGGAUAAAAAUGUAUCUUUGCAACCUAGAAAGUGUAUGACUGAUUCUUGGAACCUUGGAAAAGUCUUCUAUCUUGUUCCAAUAUUAUUUUCUUAUGGGUAAUAAUAUGGGUUCUAUAUGCCUCUUAAUUUGUAAAGCCCAUCAUGUUACUGCCCUUAGUAAAUUCAUUCUCUGAAUAUCCUUCCUCCUGGGACAGAGCUGCAUCUCUCUGCUGUUUGCUU
rnacentral:lncRNA from 1 species